UACAGAGGGUGCGAGCGUUAAUCGGAAUUACUGGGCGUAAAGCGCGCGUAGGCGGCUUUGCAAGUCGGGUGUGAAAUCCCCAGGCUUAACCUGGGAACUGCAUUCGAGACUGCAUUGCUAGAGUAUGGGAGAGGGAAGUGGAAUUUCCGGUGUAGCGGUGAAAUGCGUAGAUAUCGGAAGGAACAUCAGUGGCGAAAGCGGCUUCCUGGACCAAUACUGACGCUCAUGUGCGAAAGCGUGGGGAGCAAACAGG
rnacentral:rRNA from 1 species